AUUACUUUCUGUAUUUUGUGUUAUUUGUGAUAAACAGGCUUUCUUGAUGAAAGGAUCAAGUGGCAAGCAUCAGUGAGAGCACAUCACUUGAUGGCCCGAUCUGGACGUGAUCAUCACAGGGAAGUGGAGUAAAAGAUCAACCUGUUGAGUGCCAUGACAACAAAAAUGCCAGCGUGCUAAAUUAGGACAGAACUAAGUAGACCUGGAAAAUACUGCGAACGAAGUGGGAGAAGAACCAAGUUUGAAGCUUUUAACUGGAAUAGCUAUUACUUUUGUGUAGUUCGAAGUUUCUCAUUUGCAAUAGCUACUUUUUAUUUCAUAGUUUGUUCAGUAUCUUUAGGAAAUAAGAUAUGGUUUUUUAUAUCUCUAAAAGAAUUUCAGUUGCCAUUGUCUGUCCUGGAGUAGUGCUAAAAAUAAAUUUGUUUGAUUUCACAUGGUCUCUUGUUACUUGGGUUUCUUUUGUUCUCUGUGUUGUUUCUGCUGGGUCUUUGUCACUCCUGGUCACCCAAGUGUGACCUCUGUAGUAUAUGCACAAAAAUAUUACUAGUGUUGAAAAAGGUCUGAAAUUUUUUAAAUAAAUGGUACAGAACAAUGGUUUGUAUAUAUAGUUUAGUUACAUGUUUUUUAGUAUGUGACUGUACUGUGAAAAUCGGACAAUAGGCAACUAGCAUCUGGUACUUCCAUUGCAGGCUGAUUGGGAAGUCUAAUUGAAUUGUGGUGAUUGGCCUGAUUGGUGUUGGGUCUCACACAGAGGCCAUAUGCGGCAUGUGCCAAUGGUUAUGAGUUCCCUUUCUGCAAAAUGGAACAGCUAAAGGAUUUUGUUUUCCCUUUUUGUGCGCAUAAUAAAAAAAUGAAAUGAACUGACUAUUAAUACUGUUGUACUGUGUCACACUAAUUCUGUUUUAUGUUUUGGAAUUAGCUAGUCACUUGAUAUAUGUCAAAACUGCUAAUCUGAUAGGAUUUUCUUGUUAGUGAUAUCGAUAGCUAAUCUAACAUUUUGUUUGUGUGACCUUUUGAAUUAUUAUUCAAGUCUCUGUUUAUUUUUUACAUGCUUAUAGGUGUUGCUGCUCUCCAUGCUCAAGGUACAUGCCCUCCCCUUUUGGACCCUUUCUUUGAUUCAGCAUCUUUAAUGUCGUAAUUGCUUAAUUGUGCAGCUAUAAUAAGGAUCUGAAAUCUGAAAUAAUAAGUUUUGAAACAGAAAAUGUCUGGAUGUUAGGUUCCAUAUAUAGUUGUUUGUGGCCCAUAUGGUUUGGCACAGAUUUCUUUGCCUGUGCAAGACUUCUGUUUCCAAUUUGUUUAGGCACCAAUGGAAACUGGAAGAUCCUUAAGGUGUUUAGCUAUUAAAUGGUAUGUUUUUCAAGUUUUGUUCAAUCUAUCUUUUAUAGAACAAUGAAUCCACAAUUCUUAGUGUUGUGGAUGAUUGACUUGCUCCUUAAGGAUCUUCCUGGUGUAGGUUAUCCUCUCUUCGUUGCUAGAAUGAGCAUUUUGAUGUUGCUGCUCCUUGCGUUGCAUUUCUGUUGGUGUUAUAUUAUAGUGUGGAUAGUUCUGUUUACAAUUCUACUAGUGUAUAUUGCUUUCUUAGUUUCUUUUGCUAGUACAGUCAUUGAUUGGGUGCAUUGCGCUAUAGUUUCACUGCCAUUUCUUAAUUUUACAGCAUGUAAAUUCUUUUGUCACAUGACCCAUCUUUUAGCUGUGAAAUUAAAUGCGAGUGUGUUGAUAUAUAUACUCGGAAAUGUACUUCAUAUAUUUAACAACCUGACUUGACUACAAAAGAUCAUGAGUCCAUGUUGAAUUAGCACUAAUAAUCUGAACAUUGUUAGAAGUGCAAUCCUUUUCUAGAAAUUAUUUCACUUGAGAAGGAUGCAUUUACUUGCACCAUUUACUUGGACCUGUCAACAUAUGUAGGAUAUCGAACGUCAUAAUGUUCAAGUGCACAUUAUGUUCAACAAGGAUGAAUGACCCGGUUCAGGCAGGUCUUCACCAACUACAACUGGAAGACAGAUGCUCAAUCAUAUACAUUGUGGACAUAGCAUUGAUGAAAUACAGAGGCUAGAUUCUUUGCUAAGACAGCCUGAAUCCUAUGAUACAGAUUCAUUUUCUUAGUAGAUUGUUCCCCUUUUAUGGGAAAGCUAAUGAUUUCAAUGUUGCUAUGGGCAUCAGAGGCCAACCAUUGUACUAUAGGGCAUAGACAUAUUGUUUGAACCGCUUAAUAGUUUUAUCAGGCUUCAAAAGCCUCAGCUUGGAAUGGUAGUAUAUAUGUAUAUACCUGGCUCAAUGGGCUUGCAGUACCAUAUAAAUGGGAAUUACAGCCGUACAUGGACUGAGUGUGUUGUGUAAUAAAAAAGUACUCCACAUGUUAUGCGUUGGAGUCUCUAAUUAACUAUGUGUAUGACUUGAAUUAUGUGUUUGUUUUAGGAGAUCCAUUAUAUCAGUCUGCUGCUGCCUGUCAUGCAUAGCAGUGGCUAAAGAUGAGGCAGAAUCGAUUGGUCUUCUUCUUGGGAGUGCUUAUGAUAGCUGUUUACACUAGAGUUGUUUGUAUACAAUGUACUUAAUCUGGAUGUACUUGGCUUGUAUGUAGCGCUUCUAAAUAGUAAAUACUACUGGAAACAAUUUCAGUCUUAUUAGCAUUUUAUUUUCAAUAUGCGUAUCGAAUUCAGAGACCAAAUUACAAAUCAGUAUGUACAGAUUGUGUGUGGCCUACCUCUGAAAAACAGCUUGUCUCUGUCAGUGUGUCCCAACACACAAGUUAAGCUUGAUCAGACUGAGCUUCCUGUGUAUUGUGUACUGCUACGACAGUGUCAAUAGGUCACAAAUCUGUGUUUCAGGCCUCAAAAAGUAGUUUUCGCCUGAUAGCAAGUGUUGGCAUAUGAAAGCCAUAUGGUUUUAGGACGAUGGCACUGCACCAGUAGAUGAAUCCGUUUGAGUUAGGUCAUAAUUUGUUUUCAGAGUUUGAACAGUAACUAUUGGUUUAUAUCACAUUUAAACGUUCAUUAGUGUGCUAGUGUGUUCUAGUAUCUGAUCCGAGAUGCUUGUGGCUUUUUUUCAGCCAGACUAAAAAAAAUUCUAGUAGUGACCUAGGUCACUUGUUCUUUCAGGGCUUUUAAUAUACUACCUCUGUCCUUGAAAGUUUUAACUUCUAGAGUUGUUUUAAGGUCUUGUUUAGUUCCGAAAUUUAUUAGUACGCUGUCAAUUAGAAUAAAAAAGCGUAAGGAUAGGAGCAUGGUCAUUGCGAAGCAUUGGAAGAUAAUAUAUAGUCGUCCGAGGAUAAGCCAUAUAUCAUUCUGCGUUGGCAAGACAUUGAUCAAGAUGUUCGAAAGUUGGAGCAGAGCUGAAUCUCUUAUUGAUCCAUGUGUACGCCGGUCCGCUAUAUCCAAGAUCAAUGAAACCAUGCUGUUUGACAAAAUCACAGAAAACAUUAAUGCGCCUAAGAUCAGGUCUACCAGGACCUAAUUUUUCAUUGGGUACAUAAUAUCAUUCAUAUCUCCCAUAGAGAACAUAGACAAUGUGCUAUGACUUACAACAAAAUCCAGCACACGCAUCCAUAUGGUAGUAGUGUUAAUGUGAUGAGAGUCACCGUAAAUACAAACUAGCCCAAAUUGUUUCUGGUCUAGAUUAUUACUACACAAGGCAAAAAUAUAGUUUUGAGACUGAUCAACUACCGUGAGACUGGCCUUGAGCAGGGAUUACCAGCGCAUUUAUGGCAUUAAAACGAUUAAUUAAAGAAGUACGAGAUGUGUCAUCUAGUUUAAAAAAUAAAACAUACCUAUGACUUAGUAGAGGUAAUUAGGCGGGCAAGAUGUGUCAUCUUAGAACUGCUCGGGGAUCCGCCCGAUCCCCGACAGUUCCAUGCCAGGAGUGUCAUGGCGUCCACGACGCCUAUGCGGCUGGUGCUGGAGCCUUUUGAAGAUUGAGGUCGAUAACAAGCUGAGUAGGGCUGCGAGCCGUACCCUCGCUUUUACUAGUGUCACUUCAUGGCUAAGCUGUAGAGUGGGGUUCACCAUGGGGGAGAGCAUGAUGUUUUUCGUCACCCAGAUCUAGUUCGCCGAGAGGAAGCUGGCGAUGAUCAGGAAUGUGAGCCGUAGCCAUAGUGUCGGUGCCGUGGGGCGACGUAUGGCAAGGAUGCAUUGAAGUGAGAGAUUGAUGUUGCUGGGAUGGCGUGGUGGUAUGGCUUAUUGGAGACGCGGGUUGAGGCCGAGGUGGAGAGGUGGGUAUGGGGGUUGAAACCAUUGGUGGAUGAGGAAGCGUCUUGGUCGGGUGGCUUAGGCUCCAUGGUGAGGGGGACCGGCAAGGAAGUAUAGUCGCUUGCCAUGGUGGAAAGGGAUAGAAGAAGACGUAGAAAGGGGAGUACAAACGUGAAUGACGAGGGCUCAUCAGUAAGAUAUAGCAUACCUCCUUCAAAUCUAGAUCUCAGGCUAUUGAUUGCCACCAAUUGAAGCUACAGACAACCUAGAGCAGACACAUUGAAUUGCAUGAUAGGGAGAUUGGGAGGAGAUUUGGCGCAGGGGAUUCAGCUUCCGCCACUACACAGGUCCUAUUGUGUGGUGCCCACUGAGAGAAUCAGCGGAAGGAGCCAGACCGCUCAGAUCGGAUGAGGAUUGGCACACAGGAUGAUGAUCGGAAGGAUUGGGAUGGAUUAUAGCAAGGGGAAUCAAGGAUUGCGGGGGGGGGGGGGGGGAUUGAGUGGUAGGAAGGUAACUCAUGGCAUAACGGCCAAUGCUACUCAGAGUUCUCGUGGUCUAGUUCAUAGCCCAACCUAAUAUAAAUCAUCAUGGGAAGAAAAAAGUACCGAUACAUAAUAGAAAUACAGUCAACAGUGACUACACACAGACAGGAACAAACAUUGAUUUGAAAUGAACAAAUUAUAAUGUUCCUUUUUUUAGAACACACUCUGCAUUAAAUCUGACAAAAUAGAAGUUAGUAGUAGCAGCACUACAGACUCUGUCAGAAACUAAGCGAGGGUGCAAAGCUUUAGCAUUUCGGAGUGAUCAAGGGGGAGAGUUUAACUCCAUUGAGUUCAAGCAGUACUGUGAUGAGCAUGGAGUCAAAUAUUUCACCACAACUCCAUAUACACGGUAGCAAAAUAGCACUAUUGAGCGAUAGAAAUGCACCGUAGUGGGAAUAGCUAGAUGUCUGUUAAAGAGCAAGAGUGUCCUUGUGAGUUUUGGGGAGAAGCGGUGUCAGCUGCAGUCUAUUUACUAAGUCCUUGUUUAGUUCGUAAAAUUUUUUGUUUUUGGAUACUGUAGCAUUUCGUUUUCAUUUGACAAACAUUAUCCAAUCACAGAGUAACUAGGCUCAAAAGAUUCAUCUCACAAAUUACAGGUAAACUGUGCAGUUAGUUUUUAUUUUCAUCUAUAUUUAAUGCUCCAUGCAUGCGACCAAAGAUUCGAUGUGAUGGAGAAUCUUGAAAUUUUUUGCGAACUAAACAAGGCCUAAACCGAGCCCCAACAAAGAGCCAGCAAGAGAAAACUCCAUGGCACGACCGCAAGCCCAAAGUACAUCAUCUUCGCACGUUUGGUUGCAUUGCCUAUGUGAAGAUAGUUGAGCCUGGUAACUAAAAUGGUGUUUGUGAGCUAUAAAGCAGAACUAAGGGUUAUGAUGCCUAGCCUUGUUGAUGUGGCAUAGCUCGGCGCCAUGAAACAUAGCGCUGACAUCAGUGCUAAUGUCAAACGCUGUCCUCGCCAUCAUCAGCUUUGCUUUCGAAGCUGCAUGCGCUUUCGAAGCUGCAUGUCGUCUCGUUAUACCUGCUCGUGUGCUCUGCAUGCAUGCACCACCUCACUCAAUUAAUGUUCACGUGCAGUGCAUGCAUGUAGGUAGCUAGCCUCAUGGCAACUAGGCCUUAGUUCCAAAUGUUUUUCUAAAAUAGACAUUGUAACAUUUUCGUUUGUAUUUGACAAAUAUUAUCAAAUCAUGGAUUAACUAGACUCAAAAGAUUCAUCUCGUAAAUUACAUGUGAACUGUGUAAUUAGUUUUUAUUUUUGUCUAUAUUUAAUGUUCCAUGUAUGCGUCUAAAGAUUCGAUGUGAUGGAAAAUCUGAAAAAUGUUGCAUUUUUUUGCGAUGAAAGAAGAAUCAUAUUAGAUAAUAGUUGGGUACAUGAAUACAUUACAAGCACUCUGGAUUACACAAAUAUUCAGAAAAAAUCAUCUAAGUUAUACCCAAGCUGUGAAUAGCUUUAGAUCUCAAAACCAAAAUUUUUUGAGAACUAAACAAAGCCCUAAUAUGCUGUAGUGCAUGUGAGAGGGUGGUAUGGCACAUGGAAAGCUGUGUUUUUUUUUGUCUCGGUGAAAAUAUAUUGAUAGAGCCUUGUAUAGUUACAUUUUUUUUGUAUCUGAUUACUGUAGUAUUUUUAUUUUAUUUGACAACUAAUAUCCAAUUACAGACUAAUUAGGUUUAAAAGUUUCAUCUCAUAAAUUAUAGGCAAACUAUGUAAUUAGUUAUUUUUUAAUCUAUAUUUAAUAUUCUGUGCAUGUGUUCAAAAAUUCAAUGUGACGGGAGAAAAGAAAAAUUUUGGAACGAAACAGGGCUCACGUGACCAUGCUAGAGGCAAGUUUGUUGCCGAUUUUUUUUAAAGGGACGGUGGAUUUUUCACAAGAGAUGAAGAGACUUUUUACUGCAAAUAAAAAGAUAAUACCGUGUGAUUGAUUUUUCUAUGCGUGGGUCCGUUGGUUGAUCAGAAUUUUUUUCUCAGUACUGAAAUUACAAAUUGCGUCUAUAGAAAAUGUAAUGAACAAAAUCUUCUAUUUUGAUAUAAUAUAUAUGCAAUAAUAGUCGCCUGCAAUGACCUUGGUCAUGUGUUGCAACUAGAAAAAAAUACUCAUGUGUUGCUACUGAAAAAAGUAAUAUCAUAAUAAUUUAAAUUUCAACAUGUGUUGUACUGUAAACACAUAUUUUCAACAUGUGUUAGUUCGCGAUUUUUUUACUUUGGCUACUACUGUAGCAUUUUCGUUUAAAUUUGGUAAUUAUUAUCUAACUAUAGACUAACUAGGCUCAAAAGAUACGUCUCGUAAAUUUCAGGUAAAUUAUACAAUUAUUUUUUUAUUUAUAUUAAAUGUUCCAUGCAUGCAUCCAAAGAUUUGAUGUGAUGAAAAUCUAGAAAUGGCUACACUGAUGCCCACGGGACGCAAGGCUUGCGUGGCCGCAUGAGGCCAUUGGCUGAGCUGUAUUCCCUCUAUAUAGGGUCUAGAUGUCGUUUAGGAUAGCGAUACGAUCUACGAAACACAACUUUGACCUCUUAUUUUUAUAAAAAUAUUUAGAAAAAAUGAUAUAUGUAUUUUUAAAGACAAAUCUAUUCAUAAAUUUUUGAUAUUUGCAAACUCAACAAUUUAAAAGUUAUUGAUGAUUUAUAUUCCAAAGUUUGACCCAAACCUUGUCCAAAACGAUAUCUAAAUUCUAUACGAAUGGAGUACUUGUAUAUUUCAACUUUUAUGCAUGAAGAAAUCAAUUUUUAGUUUUUGUGGCAAUGCACAAAAUUAAUUACUCGCUUCAUUCUAAAUUAUAAGUCAUAAGUCAUUUCAAGAAUUUUGGAGAUUUAAAGUAUCUCAAGUUUAACCAAAAUUAUAAAGAAAAUAUAAAAAUUUAUGACAUUAAAUAGGUACAAUAUGACGAAAUUUAUGAUGCCAACUAAGUAUCAAUGUAUCAAUAGAUUCUUUAUUAAUUAUAUUUUUGUUAUGAAAGUGCAUUUGUCCCCUAUGUGGGUUUUGGUGUAUUGAUGACAUCCAAUUUAGGGACUAAUGCGUUGUAUUUGAGAUUUGCUACAGCUACUAGUCUCAUGAAAGAUGCAAAGGUUCGACUUAAGAUGAAAUGGUAUCCCCCAAUCUUCGUUCGUGAGAAAGGCGUUGGAAUCAAUCUAGAGCUUAAUUGUUUUUCUUUAAUUUUGGGGAUAGGUAUGCCGUACUAUCAAGAGGGAUUCAAAAGUUGUUGGUUUGGCGAAGAUAGAGUGCUCAAGUCUUUCAACUAAAACUUUUUAGAGACACUCUAGCACCUCUCUUGCACUUAGGUUUAACUUCUGUGACUUCUGGUGUCGGAAGUCCCGACGCGGGUCGGAACUCCCGACGUGCUGCGCGAGAACUGUGAACGUCGGAAGUCCCAACGUAAGUCGGAAGUCCCGACGUUGAGUUCUGCGCGCGCACAUGUCGGAAGUCCCGACAAGCGUCGGAAGUCCCGACGCCAGAACUUUGGCUGGCUGCUCCCUCGCACGAGCGUUAGCAGUCCCGACCAGCGUCAGCAGUGCUGACGCGUCGGAAGUCCCGACGCUUGUUGGAACUUCCGACGUUGCCGUUUCUGCGCUGACUCAGUUUGCCUGUUGAACAGUUUUUCCCCGUGAGUGUCGGAAGUCCCGACACUAUGUCAGAACUUCCGACGUAGACCUGAGCAGACUUUUCUCCCAGUAGUAUAAAUAGCUCUCUCUGUGUUUCUAACCGUUACCCACUCUUUCAUUGCGACCAUCCCUCAGACUAAACAGCUCCCAAGCAUUCAAGACUCCCCUCUCCUCCUCCUCUUUGCUCCCAACUUCGAUUCACCUUAGAUUUGGAGUGAUUGGAGAGUGGUUAAGUGAGAGCAACGUCUUGAGAAGCUUGAGCACUUGAUCUCUUCGUCAAGCCGGCAGGUUUUGAGUUUAUUACUCUUGGGUUCUUGGAACCCUAGCCGGCUAGGCAUCGUCCAAGAGCUUCCAUCUUGUGGAAGAGCCUUGGAAAGUUUGUAUUACCCGGUUUUUCUUAGUGGAAAGCUCAAGUGACCUUUGUGGUUACUUUGAGGGAGGCAAGGAGGUGAAAGAGACUCCGACCUUGGUGGUCACCUCAACAACGAGGACGUAGGAACUCCUAAGUGGGGUUGCCGAACCUCGGGUUAAAUCCUUGUGUCUCUUGUGGUAGUUUGUCUUAAGAUCUACUUGUAUUACUUGUAUUUGCUUGUGCUUCAACCUCCUUUUAGGGUUUGGUCUCGAUCUACGGUUUGGGGGACUCUUGGUGUCAAGGAAGGUUCUCAACAUCCUCUUCUAACCACUAGAGAGUGGUGUUGUAAGUUGUGGAUCUCACAAAGUUCAUUUAAGCACUUGUAGUUCAUUUCCCGUAGGUGUCGGAACUGCUGACAGUUUGCGUUGGAACUUCUGACAACGUCGGAAGUUCUGACCCAAACUGUCGGGACUUCCGACAGUUACUGACAAGUGACUUUGAGUUUUGUGUAGAAUUUUUAUAUACGCCUAUUCACCCCCCCCCUCUAGGCAUUGUUUAGAUCCUUUCAAUUGGUAUCAGAGCGAGGUCUUCUUUUAGCACUUUACCGUGUGAGAAGAAACAAUGUCGGAAACCGAAAAGACACAAGAAUUGGCUAAGGAAAUAGCCAAAGAACUGUUGGCAGCUCAAUCAAAGCUUUUUCAAGAUGAAAUGAAGAAAAUGCAAGAUGAGAUGACAAAGUUAAAAGAAGAGCUGAGCAAGAAAGUUGAUGAUGCAAUAGGUAGUAGGAAAUCUGAUGAGGGACCUAGUGGACACAAAGACAAUGAUAAUGAAAGUGAAGUUGGAGGUAAAGAAGAAGGUCAGUCUACUCCAACAUGAACUUUGAUUUUUCACAGCUUAUCAAGGCUUCACAUCAUGCUCCAUCUAUCAACCUAGGGAAACCUCCUCACUUUGAUGGAACUAGAUAUCCCGAUUGGGCCUACAAAAUGAAGAUGCAUCUCAUUGCCGCAAAUCUUUGGGAAGUGGUAGAUGUUGGUGUAACAUUUCCCACUGAAGAUAGAGAGAUCACUCCGGAGGAAGCUCACACCUUUCGUCAAAAUGCACAAGCUGUAGCUAUUUUAGUUUCAAGUUUGGCUCCAGAUGAAUUCAACAAAGUGAAUGGAAGAGAAGUUGCCAAGGAUAUUUGGGAAGUGUUGAAGACAGCAUUUGAAGGUGACAAGAGUGUGAGAAUGGGUAACAUUGAGUUACUUCAUGGUGAGUUGGAAAGAUUUGUUUUCCUAGAAGGUGAAUCCACUCAGGCUAUGUUUGAUAGGAUGAUGUCUUUGGUCAAUCGGAUAAGAUCUAUUGGAAGCACUGAAUGGGAUGAAAACAAGGUUGCUAGGAAGAUCUUGAGAACCUAUAGGGCAAAGAACAACAUGCUAGCAUCAGUGAUUAUGGAAAGGCCCGACUAUGAUUGCAUGACACCUCAAGAAGUUCUAGCCAAGCUCAAGCAUCAUGAGUGCCUUGAUCAAGAUGCAAUCAAUGCACAUAGUCAAAAUCCUAGUGCAAUGGGAUACAACAAGAAUGUAGCUCUAAAGGUAGAGCAAGGCCAUGAACACCACAAGUCAUGUCAAGAAAAGAAGAAAGUGAAGGAUGAUUCAUCAAGUGGUGACGAAGAUUCUGAUCAAGAAGUUGCUUUUAUCAUUAGAAAUCUCAGAAAGUUUAUGAAGAAGAAGGGUCAUCAAAAGAAGAAGAGGUUUUGCUAUGGAUGUGGACAGACCGGUCACUUCAUAGCUGAGUGCCCAAAUAUGAAAGACAAGAACAAGUACAACAAGAAUAAUGACAAGAAGUACAAAGGAAAGAAAAAGGGUGAAGCUCAUCUUGGUGAAGAAUGGAUAUCCAAUGAUAGUGAUUCAAGUGAUGAAGAGAAGAAGAAGAAGAAAGGAGCUGCAAAUAUUGCCAUCCAAAAAUCCUCAUCAUCACUCAUGAACCUCCCAAAGGCUUCACCACCAAAGCUCUUCCCCAACUUGGACUCCAAACCAAGCCUCUUCGCCAACCUCAUCGACGAUGAUUACUACACUCCAACUUGCCUUAUGGCUAAGGGGGAGAAGGUAACUACCUCAUCUGAAACCUCUAGUGAUGAAUAUGAUAGUCAUGAUGAAAACAUAGAACAACUUGAGGCAUCCUUGAUAAAGAAAUUUGGUCAUAAGGCCUUCACUAAAAUAAAAAGUCUAAUGAAGAAAUUAGAGAAGAGGGAUAGAUGCUUAGAGAUGAAAGGUGAUAUAAUUGUGCAAGAGAAGGAAAAGAACCUAGCACUUGAAGCAUCUAUCGCCGAGGAAAAGACGAAGGUUGAAAAGUUGACCGUUGAAUUGUCUUUAGCCAAUGACUCAAUUGGGAAAUUGACUAAGGAACAUUCCUCGGUUGAUGAUCAAGUAGCUAGCCUUAAAAAUGAGAAUAGUAUAGCUCAAGAAAGCCUCACAAGCUUUAAGGAAAAAUACCGAAUUCUUGAGUUAAACUAUAACACUCUUUGGGCUAGCACUUCGACUUCUCCUAAGGCAACCAAAGACUCUAAUGUCUCCACUAGCAACGGUUGUAAAAGAUGCUACAAAGUUGAUGUAAAUGCAUAUGCUACUAACCUUGUUGAGUUAGAGAAAAAGGACAAGGAAAUCAAUAGGUUGAAGAUGGAAAUUAAGAAGGGGUGUAAAUGCCAAGAGCAAUCUAAAAGGACUAUAUACAAGGCAUUUAGGCACCCAUCCAUCAAGGAAGGACUUGGUUUUAAUAGGUAUGAUGGAAAGGUCAAUGGAAGAAACAUUGUGAACGGAGUGCCUUGUGUAAAGUUCAACAAGGGUGUUGCCCUUGAUGAGCUUAUCUGCAAGGCAAACAACAAGGUUUAUCUUCCGUUGAUUCAACCUACAAACAACAAGGAAAGCAAGAUAAAGCCAUCCGAAGCUCCCAAGCCACAAGCACCACUUCCACGGUGCUAUGCUAGUGACUAUAUGUGUUGUUAGGGCAAAGAUAGCAAGAUCGUGGUAAAGUAUGUUGGUGCCCACAAGAGGAAGGAAAUAUUGAGGAGUGUCUGGGUGCCAAAACUUUAUGUGACUAACCCCCUAGGACCCAAAUCUAUUUGGGUACCUAAAACACAAGUUUGAUUUGUCUUGGUAGGAAUACUCCUCCAGUGGAACAAGUUGGGUGUUGGAUAGUGGAUGCACCAAUCAUAUGACCUGAGAGAAGGAUAUGUUCACAUCAUUCCAACCUAGUGGUGAACAAAGUGGAAACAUUGUAUUUGGUGACAAUGGAAAAGGAGAAGUACUUGGUUUGGGUAAAAUUGCUAUCUCAAAUGAUAACUCCAUUUCCAAUGUUUCACUUGUAAAUUCGUUGAGUUACAAUUUGUUGUCCGUCUCGCAACUUUGUGAAAUGAGUUACAAUUGUCUCUUUACGGAUAAGGGUGUGGAAGUCUAUAGAAGGGAGGAUUCCUCUAUUGCAUUUACGGGUCACCUAAAAGGGAAACUCUAUCUAGUUCAUUUCACAUCAAAUAGAGUAAAGCCCGAGACUUGUUUAAUGGCAAAAUCUAGCAUGGGGUGGUUAUGGCAUCGCCGACUUGCCCAUGUUGGGAUGAGGAACUUGGCCAAACUUCAAAAAGGCGAACACAUCCUUGGACUAACAAAUGUUUCUUUUGAGAAAGAUAGGAUUUGCAGUGCAUGUCAAGCGGGAAAGCAAGUAGGAGCUAAGCAUCCCGCAAAGAACAUCGUGACAACCGAAAGGCCUUUGGAGCUGCUACACAUGGACAUAUUUGGACCCGUGGCUUACAUAAGCAUUGGUGGUAACAAAUAUGGUUUUGUGAUUGUUGAUGAUUAUUCACGUUACACUUGGGUUUUCUUUUUGCGUGAUAAAAGUGAGGUCCAAGGUAUUUUCAAGAAGUUUGCAAGAAGAGCUCAAAAUGAGUUUGAUGUCAAGAUCAAGAAAGUUAGAAGUGACAAUGGGACGGAGUUCAAGAACACCAACAUCAAAGAGUACCUUGAUAAAGAAGGAAUCAAGCAUGAGUUUUCGGUUCCGUACACUCCUCAACAAAAUGGUGUUGUGGAGAGAAAGAACCGGACACUCAUAGAAGCCGCAAGAGCAAUGUUGGAUGAAUACAAGACUCCGGUGAACUUUUGGGCGGAAGCGGUUCACACGGCGUGUCAUGCUAUCAACCGCUUGUAUCUUCACAAGAAAAGAGAAAAGACCGCCUAUGAACUUCUAACUGGUAAAAAGCCCAAGGUGCACUACUUUAUAGUUUUUGGAUCCAAGUGUUUCAUACUUAACAAAAAGUCCAAAAGCUCAAAGUUUGCACCAAAGGUUGAUGAAGGUUUAAUGCUUGGUUAUGGUACUAAUGAACAUGGAUAUCGUGUUUUCAAUAAAACCUCCAGUUUGAUUGAAAUUGCGGUAGACGUGACCUUUGAUGAAACCGACGGCUCUCAAAAGGAGCAAGUCAAUGUUGAGAUUGUAGGUAAUGAAGCAGCUGCACAAGAAGCUAUCAAGAAGCUAGCAAUUGGUGAAAUAAAGCCCAUUGAAGAUGACGAUGAAGAAAGUGCAGUGCAUGUUGAUCAUGAUUCUACCAUUCAUCAUGGCUCAUCCAAUGAGCAUGGUGAGGCUUCCGCAUCAAGAAUCAAUGAAGAUUAUGGCAACAACGUGCAAGCUCAACCUCAUCUUAAUCUUGACCAUACAAGUGAAGACAAUCAUCCACAAGAUCAUAGUCUUGGUCUUCCAAUAGAUCAUGGCUAUGAUGAUGAAGAAGAUGAUGGCCCCAUUCAAAGAUCAACUCAAGUGCCACAUCCUAGAGUACAUCAAUCAAUUCAGCGGGAUCAUCCCGUUGAUAACAUUUUGGGAAGCAUUCGACGAGGGGUAACGACACGUUCUCGUUUAGCAAGUUUUUGUGAAUAUUACUCGUUUGUUUCUCCUUUGGAACCUCGUAGGGUGGAAGAAGCACUUGAUGAUGAAGAUUGGAUGAUGGCCAUGCAAGAAGAGUUGAACAACUUCACACGGAAUGAAGUCUGGUCCUUGGUGGAAAGGCUCAACCAAAAUGUGAUUGGAACCAAAUGGGUCUUCCGCAACAAGCAGGAUGAGCAUGGCGUGGUGACAAGGAACAAGGCAAGAUUGGUAGCUCAAGGUUUUACUCAAAUAGAAGGAUUGGAUUUUGGGGAGACCUAUGCACUGGUGGCAAGGCUAGAAUCCAUUCGUAUUCUACUAGCCUAUGCUGCCCAUCAUGAUUUCAAGCUAUAUCAAAUGGACGUGAAGAGUGCAUUUCUCAAUGGCCCCCUAUCCGAGUUGGUGUAUGUUGAGCAACCACCGGGCUUUGAAGAUCCCAAGUUUCCAAAUCACGUCUACAAGCUCGACAAAGCACUCUAUGGGCUUAAACAAGCCCCUAGAGCUUGGUAUGAUUGCUUAAAGGACUUCCUACUCAAGCAAGGGUUUGAGAUAGGAAAGGCCGAUGCUACCUUGUUUACUCGCAAAGUCAAUAAUGAUUUUUUUGUGUGCCAAAUAUAUGUCGAUGACAUAAUAUUUGGUAGUACUAAUGAAGACUUUUGUGAGGAAUUUAGUAGGAAUAUGACGAACAGGUUUGAGAUGUCUAUGAUGGGUGAGUUGAAGUUCUUUCUUGGAUUUCAAAUCAAGCAACUCAAAGAUGGCAUGUUCAUAAGUCAAACAAAGUACACCUACGAUAUGCUAAAGAAGUUCGACAUGGACAAAGCCAAACCCAUCAAAACACCGAUGCCAACAAGUGGGCAUCUUGACCCUGAUCAAGGAGGAAAGGACAUCGAUCAAAAGGUAUAUCGCUCCAUGAUUGGAUCCCUCCUUUACCUUUGUGCAUCUAGGCCCGAUAUUAUGCUUAGUGUGUGCAUGUGUGCAAGAUUUCAAGCUAGUCCAAAAGAAUACCAUCUAAUGGCUGUUAAGAGAAUCUUUCAGUAUUUAGUGCACACUCCUAAUCUUGGCUUGUGGUAUCCCAAGGGCUCCACUUUCGAGUUACUUGGCUAUUCCGAUUCGGAUUAUGCCGGUUGCAAAGUAAGUCGAAAGAGUACCACCGGGACUUGCCAAUUUAUUGGUAGGUCUUUGGUGUCUUGGAGCUCUAAGAAGCAGAACUCCGUUGCUUUGUCCACCGCUGAGGCCGAGUAUGUGGCGGCCGGUGCAUGCUGUGCCCAACUACUUUGGAUGAAGCAAACCCUCAAAGACUUUGGUUGUGAGCUAAACAAGAUUCCCCUUUUGUGUGACAACGAGAGUGCCAUUAAGUUGGCAAACAACCCUGCAAACCACUCUCGAACAAAGCACAUAGACAUCCGGCAUCACUUUUUGAGAGACCACGAAGCCAAAGGAGAUAUCGCACUUCAUCAUGUGAGCACCGAUAAACAACUAGCCGAUAUCUUCACAAAGCCCCUAGAUGAGUCAAGAUUUUGUGCUUUGAGGAGUGAGCUAAAUAUCAUUGAUUCUCGUAACCUACUUGAUGUCUUGCACAUAAUUUGAUUGAUCUAGGUAGGAGAAAAUUGUUUGCAAAGUUUGUUUGCUGUCUUUCAAAAUCUAAUUUAAUAUAGGUUUCAUGGAUGAUUAUAGUUAUAUAAUGCUUGUUUGUCAGCUAGUCAUCCUUGAAAUCAUUUGUGUCCAUCAUAUUUAUACCCCACUUUGCAGAGAGAGCUCAAAUUCUGAAGUUUUUGGGUUUUCCUGUGUCGGAAGUCCCGACGUGCGUCGGGAGUUCCGACGUGGUUGCGGGCUGAGCCCUCAGCCGGGAGUUCUGGCUGGCGUCGGGAGUCCCGGCCAGCGUCGGAAGUUCCGACGUGAGCCGAAAGUCCCGACGCAGAUCUCGCGCGCGUGCGGCAGACCUGUUUUGACUGGCUUGCCCCCCCCCUUUUUCACCCCGUGACCGCAGUCUUCCCCCCCCCCGCAGUCAGUUUCUUUCCCCCCCGCGCCUCCUCCUUCCCCAUUCCGAUCCAGAUCUGCCGCCGUCUCGCUGGCCUGCUCGGUCGCGGUGCGCCUCCCCCCUCCUUCCGUCGUGGUUCGCGGUGGUGCGCCUUGCGUCCUCUCCGUUGUGGUGUGUUUCGCCCUUCCCGAAGCCCUGCGUGCGCGGCGUGUGCUGCUCCUCGUGCGCAGCGUGUGUGGCGGCCGUCUCUUCGGCCGGACGUCUUCCUCGUCGCGCGUUUCUUUCUUCCUCUUCAGGUGCUUUCCCCUCUCUCUUCUCUCUCUCUCUCCCGUGUCUUGGCUUUGGAGUUUUUCGACCUCGUGCGUCGGGGGUUCCGACGGCUGUCGGGAGUUCCGACUGUCGGGACUUCCGGCCUGUGCCGGGACUUCCGACCUCGCGGUCCCUUGCUCCAUCGCAUGUCUUCCUCCAUCUUGUCUUCUAUCCUUUCUUGUGUUUGCCCAGCGUCUUAGUUGUUCGUCGCUUAUCUCGCAGUGAUGACUCGUGGAAGCCCUUCUCGCCAUGUUGAGAAGAGGUCCAAGACCAACCAGGACCGCUCCGCUGCCCCCCGCACCAAGGCUGUUCUCCCUCGGGCUGGUGCUGGUGGCUCUCGUCGUGUCGCUGCUGCCGCCGCUGCCCGUGCCUCUGGGCAAGGCCCAUCGGCUCCGGUGGCAGCCCCCCCUCAGUCCUCGCACCGGGAUCCUGAUCCCACCGGGCGUGACACCGAGGUCGACCCUGCAGAAGAGGAGCUUGAGCGUGCUGGGCGGACUAUUUCCGCUCAAGUGCGCUCCCUGUAUGAUGGGCCGGAGUGUCCCGUCUCCACGCUUGUCCCCUUCGACUCUCCGGCCCCCGUCGUGCGCUGCCCCGAGAUUGCUCCCAACAUGGGUGGUUGGGCUCCUCCUCGUCCGAUUGAUUUCCGCCACAACGUCUGCGACAUCAGGUCCUUCCGGAGCCGCAACCUUUAUGCUGAAGAUGAGAAGGAUCUCCGCCUUGAGUAUCGCUUUUGGCACUACUUUCAUUUCUACUAUUAUGAUUCCAUUCUUUACCGCAAGUCUCUUAAGAAAGGGAAGUCUCCGGUUAUUCAAAUGAAGUAUAUCAUUGAGUACUCCCUUUCCUCCACCUUCAAAGAUCAAGAGAUUCGACAAAUGGUGGAAGACUUGCGCAACAUGGGUCUCUCUGGGCUGAUGGAGCUUCACAGGCAUUGGAACAAUGAGGUGAUUAUGCAGUUUUAUGCUUCCUAUUUUCAUGAGACUGACAGCGAGAGUGACACUGAUGUUAUUCACUGGACCACUGAGGGUCGUCACUACAAGGUUGAUUUUGUCACCUUUGCUCGUUUGCUUGGUUUCAAUGGGCAUGAUCGUCGUGCAGCGGAGAUUACUGAUUAUGAGGAUGUGGCUAUGUCUGAGUACCAGUUUAUGUAUUUGGAGGGUUUUCCUGCUGAUGGACAGACCGUUUAUCUGAAGCCCUAUUACUAUGUGCUCAACAACAUUCUCAGGCAGGUUUUGUACCCCAAGGAAGGAGACUCCACUUUUCUUAGGGAUGAUUCUCAGAAGGUCCUAGCUCGUUUUGGAGAUGAUUUCCAGAAGUUCUCGGUCAGCCGGUACAUCUGGAACAGGAUACAUGAUGCUUCUGAGGAUCCGGUCAAGAACCUUCCAUAUGCUCCUUACAUCAUGCAUGUCAUUCAGCAGGUCUCAGGCAUUCACUUUCCUACUGAUGGCUCUAAUCACAAGGUGUUGAGAUUGGCAAAUCGGGUCUCCGUCCAAGCAGCUAGGGCUUUGAAGGCUUGUGGUGCAGAUCCUCCUCCUCGCCGUGGUGGUCCUUCCUCUGCUCGUUCCCGUCGUGCUGCUCCUUCGCCUCCUGCUAUCUCCCGCUCCACCAGUUCUCAGCCUCUCACCUCCUCUGGCAAAGGCAAGAAGCCCAGCAAGUUCAAGUUUCUGAUGACUUAUAUGUUUGGACAAUGUUGUGCUAGUGCUCAGAGGCAGCAUGAUAUUCAGGAGAGGCUCUAUCGUCUUGAGCAGCAGGCUGGUGUUGUCUCUUCGCCCCCUCCUCCGUUUGUGCCUCCCAGUGAUCCUCUUGCUCUUUAUGAUGAGGCUUGCCAAGCUUAUCAGGAUGAGGCCACUUCUCGCCCUCAUGGCAAAGGUGUGGCUGCCCCUGAGGAUGAGGAGUACCAUGAAGAAGAACAAGAUGAUGAUGAUGAUGACGACGACGAUGAUGAUGACGGUGACGAUGAGGACUUUGACAUUGAGUAGUCGUUUCUUCUCUAGCGCGGCCUACCCCUUUUGGCACUUGUUGACAAAGGGGGAGUGUUAGGCUUUGAUCUUUCAUGUAAUAAGCUAGAUGUCGUGGUUGGUAGACUUAAUAAUUUCUUAGUUUGGAUUAUCUAUGUCUCGUGGUGGUACUAUGUGAUGGACAUCUUUAUAUUUGUUGUGUGAGUUGGAUGAUUGUAGGACAAGUUGUUAAUCUUUUAUCUAUCUACGUUGUUUACUUGUCCUUGCCUCUUUUGUUUGUUUGUUGAUUGAGUUUUUGUGAUGGCCAUGUACUUAAGGUCUAUCUUGGUUUAUUGGUCAUCCUAUUCUCUCCACUUUGUUGUGUGAAUAUAAACUGUCAUUUUGCAUACUUUUUCACGGUUAUACUCUUGUUCACACUUGUUGCACCCCACGAAGUGCAAAAUUUAGGGGGAGCUUGUUCUUUGAUGUAUGUUUCUUAAGUGAUGACAAUCACCAUUGAAAUUCAAAUUCAUGCAUACAUCAAGGGGGAGCUCACUGUAAAUUUUGGACUUCAAAAGCUUUUUGACUUUCAUUUGUAAGCCUAAACUUGGUUGUCAUCAAGCACCAAAAAGGGGGAGAUUGAAAGUGCAUUUGCCCCCUAUGUGGGUUUUGGUGUAUUGAUGACAUCCAAUUUAGGGACUAAUGCGUUGUAUUUGAGAUUUGCUACAGCUACUAAUCUCAUGAAAGAUGCAAAGGUUCGACUUAAGAUGAAAUGGUAUCCCCCAAUCUUCGUUCGUGAGAAAGGCGUUGGAAUCAAUCUAGAGCUUAAUUGUUUUUCUUUAAUUUUGGGGAUAGGUAUGCCGUACUAUCAAGAGGGAUUCAAAAGUUGUUGGUUUGGCGAAGAUAGAGUGCUCAAGUCUUUCAACUAAAACUUUUUAGAGACACUCUAACACCUCUCUUGCACUUAGGUUUAACUUCUGUGACUUCUGGUGUCGGAAGUCCCGACGCGGGUCGGAACUCCCGACGUGCUGCGCGAGAACUGUGAACGUCGGAAGUCCCAACGUAAGUCGGAAGUCCCGACGUUGAAUUCUGCGCGCGCACAUGUCGGAAUUCCCGACAAGCGUCGGAAGUCCCGAUGCCAGAACUUUGGCUGGCUGCUCCCUCGCACGAGCGUCAGUAGUCCCGACCAGCGUCAGCAGUGCUGACGCGUCGGAAGUCCCGACGCUUGUCGGAACUUCCGACGUUGCCGUUUCUGCGCUGACUCAGUUUGCCUGUUGAACAGUUUUUCCCCGUGAGUGUCGGAAGUCCCGACACUAUGUCGGAACUUCCGACGUAGACCUGAGCAGACUUUUCUCCCAGUAGUAUAAAUAGCUCUCUCUGUGUUUCUAACCGUUACCCACUCUUUCAUUGCGACCAUCCCUCAGACUAAACAGCUCCCAAGCAUUCAAGACUCCCCUCUCCUCCUCCUCUUUGCUCCCAACUUCGAUUCACCUUAGAUUUGGAGUGAUUGGAGAGUGGUUAAGUGAGAGCAACGUCUUGAGAAGCUUGAGCACUUGAUCUCUUCGUCAAGCCGGCAGGUUUUGAGUUUAUUACUCUUGGGUUCUUGGAACCCUAGCCGGCUAGGCAUCGUCCAAGAGCUUCUAUCUUGUGGAAGAGCCUUGGAAAGUUUGUAUUACCCGGUUUUUCUUAGUGGAAAGCUCAAGUGACCUUUGUGGUUACUUUGAGGGAGGCAAGGAGGUGAAAGAGACUCCGACCUUGGUGGUCACCUCAACAACGAGGACGUAGGAACUCCUAAGUGGGGUUGCCGAACCUCGGGUUAAAUCCUUGUGUCUCUUGUGGUUGUUUGUCUUAAGAUCUACUUGUAUUACUUGUAUUUGCUUGUGCUUCAACCUCCUUUUAGGGUUUGGUCUCGAUCUACGGUUUGGGGGACUCUUGGUGUCAAGGAAGGUUCUCAACAUCCUCUUCUAACCACUAGAGAGUGGUGUUGUAAGUUGUGGAUCUCACAAAGUUCAUUUAAGCACUUGUAGUUCAUUUUCCGUAGGUGUCGGAACUGCUGACAGUUUGCGUCGGAACUUCUGACAACGUCGGAAGUUCUGACCCAAACUGUCGGGACUUCCGACAGUUGCUGACAAGUGACUUUGAGUUUUGUGUAGAAUUUUUAUAUACGCCUAUUCACCCCACCUCUAGGCAUUGUUUAGAUCCUUUCAUGUUAUUAUACCUAUUUGAUGUCACAAAUUUUUAAAGUUUUCUCUAUAAAUUUAGUAAAGCUUGAGAAGCUUUAACUCUCCAAAAUUUUUGAAAUGACUUGUAAUUCAGGACAGGUUAAGUACCUAAUAUACUUUAAAGUCUAAAAUGUCAUUUUACUUUAUAUAUAUACGUUGUUAAAAAAAUUCUAAAAUCACACUAAACCAUUGUAUUAAUAUAUCCAGCUGUUCUCAAUUCUCAAUAUCAGACCUUGUUUAGUUGGUGAAAAAUUUUGGUAUUGACUACUCUAGCACUUUCGUUUGUAUUUGACAAUUAUUAUCCAAUUAUAAACUAACUAGACUUAAAAAAUUUGUCUCACAAAUUACGGACAAACUGCAUAAUUAUUUUUUAUCUAUAUUUAAUACUUCAUGCAUGCGUCUAAGGAUUUAAUGUGACAGAGAAUCUUGAAAAAUUUUGAGAUUUUUGGUGAAGUAAACAGGCGUCAAUAUGCCAUACGAUGAUUAUUUAUGGGUUACACAUGCACCCAUUUAUUUUUUUUGUAAAAAAAAAGGACUCAAAGGGUAAAGACGGUAAUGAGGAAAAAAAAACCCCCCGCUCUCCUUCUUCCCCUUCCCGCUGACACCAGCUGGCGCGUGCGUGAAGGAUACGCCAACGCCGCAAACCGACCACUCCAUCUUCCCGGGCAAUAAAACCCCAGUAACUCAUCGGCGUCUCCUCCCCCGCUUCCCAGAGCAAUCCAUCCCCAGAGUUCUGGAAUCCCACUUCCUGAUCUCCAUCUCCCAGCAUCUCCGCGCGCGCCCCAUCGCGAUCUCGGCUCCGCGGCUGCCUCGAUCGAUUCCCCCAAGGCCGCAGGUGCUCCCCAUCCUCCCUCCUCGCUCGAUCCGCACUCCUCUCGACUCGUCGCCCCUUCGGAUCCCGUUGCGAUGCUGAGCCUGCCUCCUCCGGCCCCACCCGCGGCGGCGGCGGUGGCGGUGGCGGCGGCGGCGGCGGCGGAUGAGAAGCGUCCCUCGCCGCCGAUGAAGGCGAAGCUGCUUUUUCCGUACGCCGUGUCCUGCGUGUUCGGCGGCAUGCGCCGCGCCUGGGGCAUGGCUCUCGUCGGGCUCCACGCCUUGACCCGUGUCGUCAAGGUCGUCUCCUUCACGACAGACGCAGAGGAGGUUCGCUUCUUGGUACCGAUCUUCCACGGCUGGGUGUACCUCGGCAUCGCCGCCGUGGUGCUCGUGACGUGCGUGGACAUCAUCUACUACACGGUGAGUCUGCUCUUUCCAUACGCUGUGUCCUGUGUGGUCAGCGGCAGAGGCCGGCCCAGGGGCAUGGCUAUGAUCAGCCUCCACAUUGUGCUCAGCAUCGUCAAGGUCCUCUCUUUCACCACAGACCCUGAGGUGGCCCGCUUCUUGACACUAAUCUUCCGUGUGUGGGUCUACUUUGGCAUCACUGCCAUGGUCCUCAUGACGUGCGUGGACAUCGGUCACUACUUGUAUGGUUUGUACACCUUGAUGUUCCAUCCGUCACAGCAGCAGCUGGCAGCGGCAGAGGUGCUGCUCCCGCCUCCACCUCCGGAGAUGGACAUGUGCUAAAUUUGGUCGGUGGGUUCGGUAUGUCUUUGAUUGCUGGCGUCAGGUGCGUUUUCUAACCCGUUCUUCAGUCUCUGUUUUAGUUGCUUACUUACAGGUGUUGCUGCUCUCCUUGCUCAAGGUACAUGCCCUUCCCUUCUCAGCCCUAUCUUCGGUUCAGCACUUUUAAUGCACAUAUUGCUUAACUAUACAGCUACAAGUAUCUGAAACAUUAAGUUUUGAAACAGAAAACAUCUUGAUUUUAGGUUCCAUAUAUAUAGUGUAGUUGUCUGUGGCCCAUAUGAUUUGGUGCAGAUUUCGCUGCUUGUGCUAGACAUUCUGUUUUCAAUUUGUUUAGGCACCACUAGAAAUUGUAAGAUGCUUCAGGUGCUUCCUGUUUAGUAGCUAUUAAAUGGUAUGUUUUUCCAUGCCUCAAUCUAUCUUUUGUAUAACAACGAAUCCACAGUGUGUUCAUACUUCAGUAGUUGCAUUGUGGGAGCACUCCAGUGAAUUUAUUACUUAUUGUUCUGGUAUGUCUUUUCCUUGUUUAUUACUUUCUGUAUUUUGUGUUAUUUGUGAUAAACAGGCUUUCUGAUGAAAGGAUCAAGUGGCAAACAUCAGUGAAAGAACAUCACAUGAUGGCCCGAUCUGGACGUGACCAUCACAGGGAAGUGGUGUAAAAGAUCAACCUGUUGAGUGCCAUGAUAACAAAAAUGCCAGCGCGCUAAAUUAGGACAGAACUAAGUAGAGCUGGAAAAUACUGCGAACGAAGUGGGAGAAGAACCAAG
rnacentral:lncRNA from 1 species